ensembl:lncRNA
UGGGCACAGAAGUCAGAUGAGGGGUCAAAUCCUGAGGGAGGAAGACGCAUCUAGACGGACUUUCAGUCUCUUUCAGCUCUAUGUGAAAACUUACAUGUAGUGAGACAGAAUAGUUGUCUGUAGCACCACCUCAGAAUUACAUCUGAAAUGUCCGCUGGAACAUCUGUACUGCUCAGCUGGACCCAGCUGUGGCUCUGCCUCCUCCUUUUGGUCCAUGCAGACCAGAAAAACAUAACAUCUAAGUCUGGACAGAACGUCACUCUGCCAUGUCGAGCUCCAAACAAGGACAUCCGCAUCAUUGUUUUAGAGUGGAGCAGAGCUGACCUGGGAGAUGAAUAUGUCCUUUCGUACCGGGAUGAGCAGUUUGAUCCAGAACAACAGCAUCCAUCUUUUAAGAACCGGGUGGAUCUGCAGGACACACAGAUGAAGGAUGGAAACGUGUCUUUGAUUGUGAAGAAUGUGACGACUGCUGAUAGUGGGAUGUACAAGUGUCGUGCAUUUUUGAGUCAAACACGAUCGUGGGAAUCCAUCAACAACAUCAACCUGAGUGUUGAUCCUCCAGGUCAGACAGGAGGAGGCAGAUUUGUCCCACUGAUACUUUGUCUACUUGGUUCCACUGUCAUUCCUGUGGUCGGUUUUCUGAUCUACAGAAGAAAACCACAGAAAUAGGAUUCACACGUCCUUUCUGUUGAACAGCAGCAUAUUUAAAAUGUCUCAGAGCUUUUUAACUGUGAACUGAGUCUCUUGCAAUUGUUACUAAAUAUUUAUUAGAGUUUUCUCAUUUUAAAGAAAAGGUAGGCAGCUUUUAUUCAUUACGUUUUUUAAGCACUGCUUACAUGUAUUUGCACAUGUCUGGAUUUGUCAAUAUAUUUACUUCUAAUAUGCAUUUUAUUGUUAAUGUUGAUGAAUUUAUAGCUGAAUUUCCUGAUUCACUGCCCAACCCAAUAUGCAGUUUUAUCUGUUUAUUGUUUAUUUAUCUGUUUCUUUUUACAGUGUUUUAAUGUCUUAACUGUGAAUAUAUAUUUUAUUUUAAUGACUGAACAUGUGUUGCUGUGUUGAUAUAAGCCUGUGUCUUUUAAAAUUUGUAUGUUUGUUUUUAAAUGUUUUCCCAAUCUUACCCCACCUUAACUCUCUGAGCUUCUUCAUCCCUACACACCCUGUUGGUCUCUUACUUGCUUAGUUGGAGUACCGAGAUCCGGGAGGAAGCUCAGAGGGGACAGCGCCUUCUCUAUUGUGGCUCCUGAAUUUAGAGAGGCCCCGUCUCUGUCCACUUUUAAAACACGUCAUUGGCUUUUGACCUCAGUGAGACUUAGUGUCUCUUGUAAUUAAAUGUGUUAUCUAAUUAAUUAUUUUAUUUUUCUUUUAUUUGGCUUUCAUUUAAAUCAAAUGUUAUUUUUAUUAUUUAGUUCCAAUCUACAGCACUUUGCGCCAGCUGUGGUUGCUUUGAAGACUUUAUAAAAAAAAGAUGAUGGUGAUACUUGUGCUCACUGUAAUUCAGUCUAUAUCUUAAAUGUUUUUUGUAUUAUUUUAUGCGUUUUAAUGUUCUUAUUUUUUUUUUACUCUAAUUUGUUUCCAGUGUUUGGUGCUUAGAAUUAAAAAAUAAAAAAUAAAAUCAUAAAUAAAGAAAAACUGAAAUAGAAUAAUCUGAAUUUUAAUCAGUCUUAAGAAAACAAACAUCACUGACAGGUACAACCUUGCCACUUAAAAAUAUUAGAAAUGAGAAAUAAUCAAAAACAUGCCAAUUUAGUCAUGUUUACAAAUCAUGCCACACUAAAUCAUUCAGCUUCUCCGGAGGGUAACAUAUCACUCCUGAUCUGACCGUCGCUGUUAAAAUGUAUUUUUGAGGACAGUAUGGAAGCAUUAAUGAUCUGCUUCUAUCCAUGUUAGUGUUUAAAGUCCAACAUUUCCCUCUAGUGGUCAUAUAUAAACCAUGUGUGAGGAUGGUGUUAAUGUAAAAUGUGAAUCAUAGUGUUCCAGUCAGUCAUCAGUGUGUCUCUGCACAGCUGUAAUUAAAAUGUGUUCAGAGGGCCUCAGUGUCUGAAUGGUUCCAGUUCAGCUCCAUAACAGCAGCGUCCCUGGUUUGAUUCCUGUGUUUCAGCUCAUAUCUGCCUCUCUCACUGAGGGGGACGUAACUACAUGGACAUGGAUUUGUUCAUCAAUCAAACUACAGAUCACUGAGAGCAGAGGACAUCUGACUUUUUGUUUUCUUUCCAUCUGUGUGAAUUGCCAGAUGUCUGAGCAAGCUCAUUGCAUUAAAA